GCGGAUAUGACGUAAUUGGUAGCCGUACUAGAUUUAGGAUCUAGUGUCGAAAGGCGUGUGGGUUCGAGUCCCUCUAUCCGCA
rnacentral:tRNA from 1 species